UACGUAGGCAGCGAGCGUUGUUCGGAGUUACUGGGCGUAAAGGGUGUGUAGGCGGUUCUUUAAGUUUGGUGUGAAAUCUCCCGGCUCAACCGGGAGGGUGCGCCGAAUACUGAGGGACUAGAGUACGGGAGAGGAAAGUGGAAUUCCUGGUGUAGCGGUGAAAUGCGUAGAUAUCGUAAGGAAGACCAGUGGCGAAGGCGAGUCUCUGGACAGUUACUGACACUGAGGCACGAAGGCCAGGGGAGCAAACGGG
rnacentral:rRNA from 1 species